UGGGGUGUCAGAGUGGCCUGGCUGCACGAGGCCGUGUGUCGGCGGCUCUGUCAGCGCUGUCUGUCCUUCCUUCCCCACAGGGCUGAUGGCGGCCGUGACGUUGGACGAGUCUGGGGGCGGCCUCCAGGCACCCGGAGGAGGGAUCAGCCUCGUCUGCAAGGCCUCCGGAUUCACCUUCAGCAGUUUCCAGAUGGACUGGGUGCGACAGGUGCCUGGCAAGGGGCUGGAAUACGUCGGAGGUAUUGACAGUGCUGGUAGUGGCACAUGGUACGCGCCGGCGGUGAAGGGCCGUGCCACCAUCUCCAGGGACAACGGGCAGAGCACAGUGAGGCUGCAGCUGAACAACCUCAGGGCUGAGGACACCGCCACCUACUACUGCGCGAAAAAUGCUGGUAGUGGUGCUGGUUGGUGUAAUGCUUACUAUAUUGAUGUUGUUUUUAGUGGCGUCACCCACAGCCCAGAUUGA